GACGAACGCUGGCGGCGUGCUUAACACAUGCAAGUCGAACGGAAAGGCCCUGCUUUUGUGGGGUGCUCGAGUGGCGAACGGGUGAGUAACACGUGAGUAACCUGCCCUUGACUUUGGGAUAACUUCAGGAAACUGGGGCUAAUACCGGAUAGGAGCUCCUGCUGCAUGGUGGGGGUUGGAAAGUUUCGGCGGUUGGGGAUGGACUCGCGGCUUAUCAGCUUGUUGGUGGGGUAGUGGCUUACCAAGGCUUUGACGGGUAGCCGGCCUGAGAGGGUGACCGGCCACAUUGGGACUGAGAUACGGCCCAGACUCCUACGGGAGGCAGCAGUGGGGAAUAUUGCACAAUGGGCGGAAGCCUGAUGCAGCAACGCUGCGUGCGGGAUGACGGCCUUCGGGCUGUAAACCGCUUUCGCCUGUGACGAAGCGUGAGUGACGGUAAUGGGUAAAGAAGCACCGGCUAACUACGUG
rnacentral:rRNA from 1 species